CACGGGGGGAGCAAGCGUUGUUCGGAAUCACUGGGCGUAAAGGGCGUGUAGGCGGUCAGGUAAGUGAGACGUGAAAUGCCCCGGCUUACCCGGGGACCUGCGUCUCAUACUGCUUGGCUUGAGUACGGGAGAGGGUGUGGGAAUUCCUGGUGUAGCGGUGAAAUGCGUAGAUAUCAGGAGGAACACCGGUGGCGAAGACGCACACCUGGCCCGAUACUGACGCUGAGGCGCGAAAGCUAGGGGAGCAAACGGG
rnacentral:rRNA from 1 species